UACGGAGGGAGCUAGCGUUGUUCGGAAUUACUGGGCGUAAAGCGCGCGUAGGCGGCUUUGUAAGUUAGAGGUGAAAGCCCGGGGCUCAACCCCGGAAUUGCCUUUAAGACUGCAUCGCUAGAAUCCAGGAGAGGUGAGUGGAAUUCCGAGUGUAGAGGUGAAAUUCGUAGAUAUUCGGAGGAACACCAGAAGCGAAGGCGGCCAACUGGCCCGAUACUGACGCUGAGGCGCGAAAGCGUGGGGAGCAAACAGG
rnacentral:rRNA from 1 species